GAUGAACGCUAGCGGCAGGCUUAAUACAUGCAAGUCGAGGGGCAGCACGGUUAGCAAUAACUGGUGGCGACCGGCGCACGGGUGCGUAACACGUAUACAAUCUACCUUAAACAGGGGGAUAGCCUUUCGAAAGAGAGAUUAAUACCCCGUAAUAAAUUGAACGGCAUCGUUUGAUUUUGAAAGCUCCGGCGGUUUGAGAUGAGUAUGCGUCUGAUUAGCUAGUUGGUGAGGUAACGGCUCACCAAGGCGACGAUCAGUAGGGGAUCUGAGAGGACUAACCCCCACACUGGUACUGAGACACGGACCAGACUCCUACGGGAGGCAGCAGUAAGGAUAUUGGUCAAUGGAGGCAACUCUGAACCAGCCAUGCCGCGUGCAGGAUGACGGCCCUAUGGGUUGUAAACUGCUUUUAUACAAGAGAAAACCCUGGUACGUGUACCAGGUUGAUAGUAUUGUAAGAAUAAGCAUCGGCUAACUUCGUGCCAGCAGCCGCGGUAAU
rnacentral:rRNA from 1 species